GCCUCCUUGGGCCCUCCCUGGCUCAGGUCGAAGACUUGUCGGGGAUUGAGAUACCAGAGGAAAGACUGGAUGAUCUUUGCACCCUGGUUGCCCCCACUCUUGGGGUUCACAAACACCAGCAGGGGCUUCAUGAGCGGGGAGGGGGUGGGCCUGAUGAUGAAGGGUCUCCAGCGGCCCUCCUCAGGCCCUUUCUUGCUGGACUUCCUCUUGAAGGAUGCCCUCUUCUUCUUCUUGCUUGCUUUCAGAGUAUUCUGGGGCCUCCGGGCGCGGAGGAUCCAGGUGGGCGGGAUGACCACGGCUGCGUGGACCCCCAGCGAGCACGGCUCCUCGAUCUGCUGCAGCAUGAAGCAGGACACCUUGCUGUGGUAUGCCUGCUUGCACCACGAGCAGCUGAUGGCCACAAUCUCCUUGCUGUGGAAGGUGAACUUCUGCU
rnacentral:lncRNA from 1 species